rnacentral:rRNA from 1 species
AAACUAGGAUUAGAUACCCUAUUAUUAAAAAUUUAAAUUAAAAAUACUAAAAUAGUAUAUAAUUUUAUAAAAACUUAAAUAAUUUGGCGGUAUUUUAGUUUAUUUAGAGGAAUCUGUUUAUUAAUUGAUAUUCCACGAAUAAAUUUACUUAAUUUAUUAAUUUUGUAUAUCGUUGUUAUAAAAAUAUUUUUAAAUAAUAAUAAUAUUUUAAUUUUUAAAUUGAAAUUUAAAUCAGAUCAAGAUGCAGAUUAUAAUUAAGAAUAUAAUGGAUUACAAUAAAUUUAUUUAAUUGGAUAUUAAUUUUAAAAUUUUAUUGGAAUUGGAUUUAAAUGUAAUUUUAUUUAAUUUAUUAAAAUGAUUUAAUUUAAAAUAUGUACAUAUUGCCCGUCGCUUUCAUUUAUAAAUUGAAAUAAGUCGUAACAUAGUA